rnacentral:rRNA from 1 species
CCCUUAGAUGUCCUGGGCCGCACGCGCGUUACACUGAUGCAUUCAACGAGCCUAUAACCUUGGCCGAGAGGCCUGGGCAAUCUUGUUAACGUGCAUCGUGAUAGGGAUAGAUAAUUGAAAUUAUUAAUCUUGAACGAGGAAUUCCUAGUAAACGCAGAUCAUCAAUCUGCAUUGAUUACGUCCCUGCCCUUUGUACACACCGCCCGUCGCACCUACCGAUUGGAUGGUCCGGUGAAGCCUCGGGAUUGUGGUUCUUGCCGCUUUAUUGUGGCGUGACCGCGAGAACUUGUCUAAACCUUAUCAUCUAGAGGAAGGUGAAGUCGUAACA